rnacentral:rRNA from 1 species
UUUUUAUUUUAGUGGCGGACGGGUGAGUAACGCGUGGGCAACCUGCCCCAUACCGGGGGAUACCAGCCGGAAACGGCUGCUAAAACCGCAUAAGCGCACAGCUUCGCAUGAAGCAGUGUGAAAAACUCCGGUGGUAUGGGAUGGGCCCGCGUCCGAUUAGCCAGUUGGCGGGGCAGCGGCCCACCAAAGCGACGAUCGGUAGCCGGCCUGAGAGGGCGGACGGCCACAUUGGGACUGAGACACGGCCCAAACUCCUACGGAAGGCAGCAG